CCCCUCUAGAGCAGGCUGGGGUAAGGGAAAGGACAGCGCUGCCAGGAGGAGGGAGAGCGAGGACUCUGGGGCAGCUGCACAGAGUCGCGGCAAAAGGCUGCUGCUGCAGGGCAGCCCUGAGCAGCAGUGACGAAAAGCGUCUGGGUGGGGACGGGGAGCUUGCUGGAGGUAUGGAGUGCCUUCAACACCAGGGGUUAUGCUUGUGCCUCUUGAACUCACAGUUGUGAGCUGCAGAGACCCUCAUCCCAGUGAGACAUCACUCCAGGACAGCUGUCCUCAUCCUACCUGGACACAUUAACCCAGUAAGUGGUAGCUGGGUUAUUUGAAGAUUCCCAGGGGGAGGAAGCAGUCUGUCUCCUCUUGGGAUUUCAGUGCUGGCUGCUAGCACUGCAGCUUGCUUACCCAGCUGUAGCAUCUGGGAAACUACAGACCUGUCAGCCUGACCUCAGCAAGGUAAGGUUAUGGAGCAGAUCAUCUUGAGUGUGAUCAAAUGGCACCUACAGGACAACCUGGAGAUCAGACCCAGCCUGCAUGGGAUUGGGAGGAACAGAUCCGGCCUGACCAACCUGGUCUCCUUUUAUGACCAGGUGAUUCACCUGGUGGAUGCAGGAAAGGCUGUGGAUGUUGUGUACCUGGAUUUUAGCAAGGCCUUUGGCACUGUCUCCCACAGCAUUCCCUGGAAAAGCUGCCGCCUGUGGCUUGGACAGGAGCACUGGGUACUGGAUUAAG